rnacentral:rRNA from 1 species
GAUGAACGCUGGCGGCGUGCCUAAUACAUGCAAGUCGAGCGACCACACGAUGAGCUCGCGCUUCUGACGGUAGCGAGGGACGGACGAGUAACGCAUGGAUAACAUCCUUAUAAGACGUGGAUAAUUUCGGGGAACAAGUGACAAUACCGGAUCAUAUAAUGAACCGAUUAGAUCAUUAGUGAGUGUGGGUUUUGGCGUAAGAAGUAGACGGAUCCGUGUUGCAUUAACUAGUUGGUAAGGUCACGGCUUAGCAAGGAAACGAAGCCUAGCCGGGCUGUGGGGAUGAUCAGCCACACUGGAACUGAGACACGGUCCAGACUCCUACGGGAGGCAGCAGUAGGGAUUAUUACGCAAUGGGCGAAAGCGUGACGGAGCAACACCGCGUGGGUGACGAAGGACUUCGGUUCGUAAAGCUCUGUUAUUCGGGAAGAACAAAAGCUUAGGCAAAUAAGGACGUCGUGACGGUACCUAAUCAGUAAGCCACGGCUAACGACGUG